UACGGGGGGAGCAAGCGUUGUUCGGAUUUACUGGGCGUAAAGGGCGCGUAGGCGGCCACCGCAAGUCGAUUGUGAAAUCUCCGGGCUUAACCCGGAAAGGUCAACCGAUACUGCGGGGCUAGAGUGCGGAAGGGGCAACUGGAAUUCUCGGUGUAGCGGUGAAAUGCGUAGAUAUCGAGAGGAACACCUGCGGCGAAGGCGGGUUGCUGGGCUGAUACUGACGCUGAGGCGCGAAAGCCAGGGGAGCGAACGGG
rnacentral:rRNA from 1 species